rnacentral:misc_RNA from 1 species
UCUCCGUUGGUGAACCAGCGGAGGGAUCAUUAUAGAAUCGACCUUUUCAAGUCAUUCUGGCUCUGCCAAACCCCUGUGAAUUAUACCUUUACUGUUGCUUCGGCGGGUUAACGCCCCGGAAGGCCCAAAAAGCCGCCGGAACCAGGCGCCCGCCGGGGGACCCAAACUCUUGUAUUUCUUACUUUGCAUGUCUGAGUGGAAUCAUAAACAAAUGAAUCAAAACUUUCAACAACGGAUCUCUUGGUUCUG